AGGGUUGAUUAAGGGUUAAGGUUAGGGUUAGGUAUAGGGUUAGAUUUUAGGGUUGAUUAAGGGUUAAGGUUAGGGUUAGGUAUAGGGUUAGAUUUUAUGGUUGAUUAAGGGUUAAGGUUAGGGUUAGGUGUAGGGUUAGAUUUUAGGGUUGAUUAGGGGUUAAAGUUAGGGUUAGGUGCAGGGUUAGGGCUUAGGGUUGAUUAAGGGUUAAGGUUAGGGUUAGGUGUAGGGUUAGAUUUUAGGGUUGAUUAAGGGUUAAGGUUAGGGUUAGAUGUAGGGUUUGAUUUUAUGGUUGAUUA